AUGCCACAUAAACAAGUUGACAAGGGUAGAAAACAUAUGGUGAAGUUGGUGCAUGCUGUUAAAUGAAAAGCACUUCUGAGUGAAGAAUGUGUUCAAAAGAGAAUAUAAAUAGCCCUCUGAGCCCUGCUUGAUCAUCAGUAGAAAUGGCACCACAUGGAUCUCUGUAACCAAGUGGAAUCGCUCAUCCAGGCCGAAGACAUGUGCUGUGGUGGUUUCCUGUCUGGAGCAUCUUCACUGUGUCAAGAACUUUGCUGAAGAACUGGCACUCUUCACCUUCCGUCCAUAUGAAUUAAUGAGGUUCAUCUCUGUCUGCAGCCUGUUGGAAGUGCAGCAGCUGUUGGGAUUUACCCAACAAGCACACACCUUGAGGAUCAGAGAAACGUUUGUACACUAGUAAUUUCCCUAUACAGGUUCAAUCCACCUUUAUGUUAUGCUCUCA
rnacentral:lncRNA from 1 species